rnacentral:rRNA from 1 species
GCUCAGAUUGAACGCUGGCGGCAGGCCUAACACAUGCAAGUCGAGCGGUAACAGGGGAAGCUUGCUUCUCGCUGACGAGCGGCGGACGGGUGAGUAAUGUAUGGGGAUCUGCCCGAUAGAGGGGGAUAACCACUGGAAACGGUGGCUAAUACCGCAUAAUCUCUUAGGAGCAAAGCAGGGGAACUUCGGUCCUUGCGCUAUCGGAUGAACCCAUAUGGGAUUAGCUAGUAGGUGAGGUAAUGGCUCACCUAGGCGACGAUCCCUAGCUGGUCUGAGAGGAUGAUCAGCCACACUGGGACUGAGACACGGCCCAGACUCCUACGGGAGGCAGCAGUGGGGAAUAUUGCACAAUGGGCGCAAGCCUGAUGCAGCCAUGCCGCGUGUAUGAAGAAGGCCUUAGGGUUGUAAAGUACUUUCAGUCGGGAGGAAGGCGUUGAUGCUAAUAUCAUCAACGAUUGACGUUACCAACAGAAGAAGCACCGGCUAACUCCGUGCCAGCAGCCGCGGUAAUACGGAGGGUGCAAGCGUUGAUCGGA